UACGUAGGGUGCAAGCGUUGUCCGGAAUUACUGGGCGUAAAGCGCGCGUAGGCGGCUUUGCAAGUCGGGUGUGAAAUCCCCAGGCCUAACCUGGGAACUGCAUUCGAGACUGCAUGGCUAGAGUAUCGGAGAGGGAAGUGGAAUUUCAGGUGUAGCGGUGAAAUGCGUAGAUAUCUGAAGGAACAUCAGUGGCGAAAGCGACUUCCUGGACGAAUACUGACGCUCAUGUGCGAAAGCGUGGGGAGCAAACAGG
rnacentral:rRNA from 1 species